rnacentral:rRNA from 1 species
GACGAACCUUGCUAUCGUUAUUCGGAAUUACUGGGCUUAAAGGGUGCGUAGGCGGUGCAGAAAGUCGGGUGUGAAAUCCCCCAGCUCAACUGGGGAACUGCGCCUGAAACUACUGUGCUCGAGGAAGACAGAGGUACGCGGAACUUAGGGUGGAGCGGUGAAAUGCGUUGAUAUCCUAAGGAACACCGGUGGCGAAAGCGGCGUACUGGGUCUUAUCUGACGCUGAGGCACGAAAGCUAGGGUAGCGAACGGG